UGGCUGCGCCUGUACUUCGAGGAGAUCAUCUGGCCGACUGGCCUGGAGCAGGAGGCGGCCCUUUCGGAGGCCUCGUCAGGUGGCAUGCCCGUGCUGCAGCUGGAUGGAGAUACGCCGGCCGGGAAGGAGGAGUGGCAGAGGGCCAGGUUUCCGGAGGCCUUGGCAUU
rnacentral:SRP_RNA from 14 species